GUGGUCGGUGUACAGGUGGUGCAUGGUUGUCGUCAGCUCGUGUCGUGAGAUGUUGGGCUAAGUCCCGCAACGAGCGCAACCCUCGUCCUAUGUUGCCAGCGGGUCAUGCCGGGGACUCAUGGGAGACUGCCGGGGUCAACUCGGAGGAAGUGGGAUGACGUCAAAUCAUCAUGCCCCUUAUGGUCUUGGGCUUCACGCAUGCUACAAUGGCCGGUACAAAGGGCUGCGAUACCGCGAGGUGGAGCGAAUCCCAGAAAGCCGGUCUCAGUUCGGAUUGGGGUCUGCAACUCGACCCCAUGAAGUCGGAGUCGCUAGUAAUCGCAGAUCAGCAACGCUGCGGUGAAUACGUUCCCGGGCCCGUU
rnacentral:rRNA from 1 species